GGAUGGAGGAGCAGCCGGAUGGGGGCCUCCCUCCUAUGUGUAAGGGCCGGACCGGGCAGCUGGUGGGACAGAGGAGAGUGUGGCUGCAGGUAUCCUAGUACACCACCGGUUCCUAGACCUGUCCAAAACCCUGGUCCCUGGUUUGCUUGGCUGCCAAAAGCAGAACUACUAUCAUAUCCGUGAAAGCCUGAUGAAGACCCUGGAUGUCAACAUAGAAAAAUAUAAUUCUCGAGACUAUGUGAUAUUAAUACAUAUUAAAGAUGGAUUCUUAGCAUGGUAUUGAGUAAACAUCUAUGAAUGAUUCCUCAUGUAUAAGGACAUGAGAAGAGUAAGAGGAAAGGACAAGGAGAACAUGUGACAGAAAUACCAGCUCAGUGCCUCGUAGGACACUGAACCAUUGGUUCACGUGCCCUUAAUCAUCUUCAUUGUCCAUAAUGUAGACAUUAAAGAAGUGUACUCACCUGUAAA